CUAACAAGGAUUCCCCUAGUAACGGCGAGUGAACAGGGAAGAGCUCAAAUUUGUAAUCUGGCGUCCUUUGGGCGUCCGAGUUGUAAUCUAUAGAAGCGUUUUCCGUGCUGGACCAUGUCCAAGUCCCUUGGAACAGGGUAUCAAAGAGGGUGACAAUCCCGUGCUUGACAUGACGACCAGUGCUCUGUGAUACGCUCUCUACGAGUCGAGUUGUUUGGGAAUGCAGCUCAAAAUGGGUGGUGAGUUCCAUCUAAAGCUAAAUAUUGGCGAGAGACCGAUAGCGAACAAGUACCGUGAGGGAAAGAUGAAAAGCACUUUGGAAAGAGAGUUAAACAGUACGUGAAAUUGUUGAAAGGGAAACGAUUGAAGUCAGUCGUGUCCGAGGGGUUCAGCCGGUCCCGCCGGUGUAUUCCCCUCGGAUGGGUCAACGUCAGUUUGGACCGGUGGAAAAGGGCAGUUGGAAGGUGGCAGCUCCGGCUGUGUUAUAGCCUUCUGUCGCACACGCCGGUCUAGACUGAGGAAUGCAGCUCGCCUUCAUGGCUGGGGUUCUCCCACAUUCGAGCUUAGGAUGUUGACAUAAUGGCUUUAAACGACCCGUCUUGA
rnacentral:rRNA from 1 species